GUGACAAACCGGAGGAAGGUGGGGAUGACGUCAAAUCAUCAUGCCCCUUAUGAUUUGGGCUACACACGUGCUACAAUGGACAAUACAAAGGGCAGCGAAACCGCGAGGUCAAGCAAAUCCCAUAAAGUUGUUCUCAGUUCGGAUUGUAGUCUGCAACUCGACUAUAUGAAGCUGGAAUCGCUAGUAAUCGUAGAUCAGCAUGCUACGGUGAAUACGUUCCCGGGUCUUGUACACACCGCCCGUCACACCACGAGAGUUUGUAACACCCGAAGCCGGUGGAGUAACCAUUUGGAGCUAGCYGUCGAAGGUGGGACAAAUGAUUGGGGUGAAGUCGUAACAAGGUAGCCGUAUCGGAAGGUGCGGCUGGAUCACCUCCUUUCUAAGGA
rnacentral:rRNA from 1 species